AUGCUCACUUUGGCAGCACCUACACUAAAAUUGGAACAAUGCAAAGAAGAUUAGCAGAAUCUUGAGAAGGGAUGACACACAAAUUAAAAGUAUUAUGGUUUC
ensembl:snRNA U6 U6 spliceosomal RNA